AGGUGAAUUCAAAACUGCACCACUAACCAUAACCAAUUCGUUUACAUCAACUAGGUUAAGAUGCUAGAUAAACAUUUACAGCUACAGGUAUUAAGAUACUUGGCUUGUUUCAAAAAAUUAUUGUCCACGUAGGACGUCACUCGGGUCUGAAUUCUCUCAAUUAAUUAAUUGGAUGACCAUGGUUGUUUCCAGCUCAUUUCCAUUUUUGGGUUUCAAAAGGGCCAAUUCCACGUAGGACGUCACUCAGGUCUGAAUUCUCUCAAUCAAUUAAUUGGAUGACCAUGGUUGUUUCCAGCUCAUUUCCAUUUUUGGGUUUCAAAAGGGCCAAAACACUCCUAGUAACAAGCUCAAGCAAAUCUCUUAUAACAUAUU
rnacentral:lncRNA from 1 species